rnacentral:rRNA from 1 species
ACGGUGAUGCCCAGCUUGCUGGGCGGAUCAGUGGCGAACGGGUGAGUAACACGUGAGUAACCUGCCCCAGACUCCGGGAUAAGCCUUGGAAACGAGGUCUAAUACUGGAUACGAGACGCCCCUGCAUGGGGAGUGUCUGGAAAGAUUUAUCGGUCUGGGAUGGACUCGCGGCCUAUCAGCUUGUUGGUGGGGUAAUGGCCUACCAAGGCGACGACGGGUAGCCGGCCUGAGAGGGCGACCGGCCACACUGGGACUGAGACACGGCCCAGACUCCUACGGGAGGCAGCAGUGGGGAAUAUUGCACAAUGGGCGAAAGCCUGAUGCAGCGACGCCGCGUGAGGGAUGAAGGCCUUCGGGUUGUAAACCUCUUUCAGCAGGGAAGAAGCGCAAGUGACGGUACCUGCAGAAGAAGCGCCGGCUAACUACGUGCCAGCAGCCGCGGUAAUACGUAGGGCGCAAGCGUUGUCCGGAAUUAUUGGGCGUAAAGAGCUCGUAGGCGGUUUGUCGCGUCUGGUGUGAAAACUCAAGGCUCAACCUUGAGCUUGCAUCGGGUACGGGCAGACUAGAGUGCGGUAGGGGUGACUGGAAUUCCUGGUGUAGCGGUGGAAUGCGCAGAUAUCAGGAGGAACACCGAUGGCGAAGGCAGGUCACUGGGCCGCAACUGACGCUGAGGAGCGAAAGCAUGGGGAGCGAACAGGAUUAGAUACCCUGGUAGUCCAUGCCGUAAACGUUGGGCACUAGGUGUGGGGCUCAUUCCACGAGUUCCGUGCCGCAGCAAACGCAUUAAGUGCCCCGCCUGGGGAGUACGGCCGCAAGGCUAAAACUCAAAGGAAUUGACGGGGGCCCGCACAAGCGGCGGAGCAUGCGGAUUAAUUCGAUGCAACGCGAAGAACCUUACCAAGGCUUGACAUACACCGGAAACUUCCAGAGAUGGUUGCCCCG